CCCUUUGUGAACUUAUACCUUACUGUUGCCUCGGCGCAUGCUGGCCUCUAGUAGGCCCCUCACCCCGGUGAGGAGAAGGCACGCCGGCGGCCAAGUUAACUCUUGUUUUUACACUGAAACUCUGAGAAAAAACACAAAUGAAUCAAAACUUUCAACAACGGAUCUCUUGGUUCUGGCAUCGAUGAAGAACGCAGCGAAAUGCGAUAAGUAAUGUGAAUUGCAGAAUUCAGUGAAUCAUCGAAUCUUUGAACGCACAUUGCGCCCUCUGGUAUUCCGGAGGGCAUGCCUGUUCGAGCGUCAUUUCAACCCUCAAGCAUUGCUUGGUGUUGGGGCACUGCUUUUAACGAAGCAGGCCCUGAAAUCUAGUGGCGAGCUCGCCAGGACCCCGAGCGCAGUAGUUAAACCCUCGCUCUGGAAGGCCCUGGCGGUGCCCUGCCGUUAAACCCCCAACUUCUGAAAAUUUGACCUCGGAUCAGGUAGGAAUACCCGCUGAACUUAAGCAUAUCAAUAAGCG
rnacentral:rRNA from 1 species